AUGCAUGCAAGGACCAGUCGAGCACGUACGAAAGUGACAAUGGAGGACGCUGGUGGUAGUACUGCACGAAGGCAGCCUUCACUCUCCGUCAACGCCUCAAGAGCGCCGUCCGGCGACUGGCCGCCGGCGGAUGAGGGGCCGGUGAGCCCUACAGGGAGGCUCAUGGACGGCUUCUACAUCGUCGUCAGCAUGGGGCUUGGGGUGCCCCUAAACUUCCCCGUCCUCCGCGCCGGCAUCGAGACCCAGCUCGCGCGACACCCGCGGUUCCACAGCAUCCAGGUGACCAAAGAUGGCAAGCCACCACGGUGGGUGCACGCGUCGGCGUUGAACUUGGAUGACCACAUCACCACCCCACUGCUGGACGGCGCCGCCGUGGCGUCCGACCCUGAUAAGGCCGUGGAGGACUACGUGGCCUCGCUGUCCACGGCGCCCAUGGACCGCUCCCGGCCGCUCUGGGAGCUCCACUUCCUCAACUACCCGACCACCGAGGCGGCGUCCACCGUGGUGAUCCGUGUGCAUCACUCCCUCGGCGACGGCAUGUCGCUGCUCACCCUCCUCAUGGCGUCCACGCGCAGCGCCGCCGACCCGUCGAGGCUCCCGGCCAUGCCGGCGCAGCCCGCUCGCUCCGGAUCCAUCUACGCGCGACCGCGGCCCCCGUGGUCCGCAGGCACUCUGGCGUUCAUCACGUGGGCUUGGUGGUACGUCGUGCUCGCGUGGCACACCGUGGUGGACGUGGCGCUCUUCGUCGCCACAAUCAUGUUCGUCAGGGACCCACAGACACUGUUCAAGCCUGCCGACGGCGGGGGCGGCGAGCUCCCCCGCCGCAAGCGCUUCGUGCACCGGAGCCUUAGCCUCGACGACGUCAAGUUCCUGAAACAUGCCAUGAACUGCACUGUGAACGAUGUGAUAGUUGGAGUGACUUCCGCUGCUCUGUCGCGAUACUAUUUCCGAAAAUCUGGUGACACUAAUACCAAAAUUAUAUGUUUGCGAUCGAUCCUCCUUGUGAACAUGAGGCCAACCAGUGGCCUACAGGAAUAUGUCAAUAUGAUGGAGUCUGGUAAGAGUAACGAUAUGACACGGAGAAAUCAACUUGGCUACAUAAUCCUACCAUUUCAGAUUGCUGUGCACAAAGAUCCACUUGAAUAUAUUCGCAAGGCCAAAAAGAUUGUUGAUAGGAAGAAAAGCUCACUGGAAGUGAUGUUCACGCAUAUGCUUGCCGAAGUUAUAAUCAAAACUCUUGGUGUGAAGGCAGCAGGUGUUAUUUUCCACCGUAUGAUAUCACACACGACCAUAUCAUUUUCGAACAUGAUUGGGCCAGCAGAGCAGGUAGAGUUCUAUGGGCACCCAGUUGUCUCCAUUGCACCUAGCGUCUACGGCCCGCCAGAAGCUCUGACGGUGCACUACCAGAGUUAUAGUAACACCAUCAAGGUAAUUCUAGCUGUUGAUGAGGCACACUUUCCAGAUCAUGGUCAACUUUUGGAUGACUUCACCGAGUCCCUUAGGAUCAUCAAGGAUGAGGCUUCAAGAUUGUAA
rnacentral:rRNA from 1 species